rnacentral:tRNA from 1 species
GGGCGUUUAGCUCUGCUGGGCGAGCCCCUCCCUUACACGGAGGGGGUCACUGGUUCGAUCCCAGUAACGCCCUCCG